UACGGGGGGGGCAAGCGUUGUUCGGAAUUACUGGGCGUAAAGGGCUCGUAGGCGGCCAACUAAGUCGGAUGUGAAAUCCCCAGGCUUAACCUGGGAACUGCAUCCGAUACUGGAUGGCUUGAAUCCGGGAGAGGGAUGCGGAAUUCCAGGUGUAGCGGUGAAAUGCGUAGAUAUCUGGAGGAACACCAAUGGCGAAGGCAGCUCGCUGGGACGGUACUGACGCUGAGGCGCGAAAGCGUGGGGAGCAAACAGG
rnacentral:rRNA from 1 species